rnacentral:lncRNA from 1 species
CUGUGACUUUGUGACAUUCUGACCUUGACUGUGACAUUGUGUGUGCAAAGGCCUCUGUACCCUUUCCUCUGUGCUUGAAAAUGGGGAAUGGCCUAACCUCGGCAAGGCUUCUCCAAGAUGGCAAAAUAAACUGUGGAAGCUGCUGUUUCCAAAAUGGGUGACCAGUAUCCCAUUUCCACAUAGCACCCCCAUCCAGGAAGGUGGAACCUCUGAAAGGACCCAGACAAUCAAAGAAGAAACGGAAGCUUAUCAGAUGUCUCCUGCUGCUGGGCUGAGCCACACCAGUGCCUGCAGUAGGUGUGGCAACUGAGGCACACGGUCUAAGUGAGAAUUGCCAGAGGUCAUGCAACUGAGUUCGAAUCUCAAACCACAUCCACCAGAGGGCAAAGCCCAGGCUUCUGCGCUCUGUGUCGUUUCUUUCAAUCCCACCAUCCCACAUUCAUACCUUCACCAAGUCUCGUUAAGCCCUGCCAUGUGUCAGGCACUGUUCUAGGCUGGGGACACAGCAGCUACCCAGACAAGGACCCUGCCCUCGAGGAGUUCCCACGCCAGUGGAGGGGCAUCUGAACAAAUGCCCGUGGUAAUUUUGGAUAAACUGAGUGCUAUGGAAAAAAUAAAAUAAUGGGAAUGAGAGUGACUACUGUGGGCAUGGAGAGGGGAGAGGGCAGGACGUGUUUCCCUCGGGUGCUUAGGGAAAGGCCCCCGGAAGAAGGGAUGUUUGAGUGAGCCCUGAAUGAUGAGAAGGUAAACACGGGGAGAUGGGGGGAGACAUCCCGCAGGCAGAAGGAAGAGCAGAGGUCCUGGGCUGGGCAGCAGCUUGUGUGUUCAAGGGUCCGAAAGAGGCCGGAGAGGCUAAAACAGAGGGAGCCACGGGCAUACACAGUAGGAGAUGAGGUCAGGAGCACGGAGAAGGGCCGGUUCACGGGGUGCAGAGACCGCAGUUAGUCCUGUGUGAAGAGGGUCUCAGGACGGAAUGUGGAGUGAGUAAACUGUCCGCAUUAGAAGGGCAGCCUCCCUGCAAGAGCCAGCCUUGCACGAAGGGAACAUCCCCACUGGGCCUCUUCCCAACUGU